rnacentral:rRNA from 1 species
UCACGCCGCGUGAGUGAUGAAGGCUUCGGAUCGUAAACUCUGUUGUUAGGGAAGAACAAGUGCCAUAGUAACUGAUGGCACCUUGACGGUACCUAACCAGAAAGCCACGGCUAACUACGUGCCAGCAGCCGCGGUAAUACGUAGGUGGCAAGCGUUGUCCGGAAUUAUUGGGCGUAAAGCGCUCGCAGGCGGUUCUUUAAGUCUGAUGUGAAAUCUUACGGCUCAACCGUAAACGUGCAUUGGAAACUGGGGAACUUGAGUGCAGAAGAGGAGAGUGGAAUUCCACGUGUAGCGGUGAAAUGCGUAGAGAUGUGGAGGAACACCAGUGGCGAAGGCGACUCUCUGGUCUGUAACUGACGCUGAGGAGCGAAAGCGUGGGGAGCGAACAGGAUUAGAUACCCUGGUAGUCCACGCCGUAAACGAUGAGUGCUAGGUGUAAGGGGGUUUCCGCCCCUUAGUGCUGAAGUUAACGCAUUAAGCACUCCGCCUGAGGAGUACGGCCGCAGGCUGCACUCACAGAAUUGACGGGGCCGCACAAGCGGUGGAGAUGUGGUUAAAUCGA